UACGAAGGGGGCUAGCGUUGCUCGGAAUUACUGGGCGUAAAGGGAGCGUAGGCGGACAGUUAAGUCAGUGGUGAAAGCCCAGGGCUCAACCCUGGAAUUGCCUUUGAUACUGAUUGUCUUGGAGUAUGGGAGAGGUAUGCGGAACUCCGAGUGUAGAGGUGAAAUUCGUAGAUAUUCGGAAGAACACCAGUGGCGAAGGCGGCAUACUGGCCCAUUACUGACGCUGAGGCUCGAAAGCGUGGGGAGCAAACAGG
rnacentral:rRNA from 1 species